rnacentral:tRNA from 1 species
GGGGUUGUGGCUUAGCGGUAGAGCGCUCGCCUAGCAUGUGCGAGGCCCUGAGUUCAAUUCUCAGCACCA